rnacentral:tRNA from 1 species
UUAGGCGUAGCUCAAUGGGUAGAGCAGCUGACUUUUAAUCAGCAGGUCAAAGGUUCAAAUCCUUUCGCCGGCACCA